AAGUCGUAACACGGUUUCCGUAGGUGAACCUGCGGAAGGAUCAUUACAGAGUUCAUGCCCUUCGGGGUAGAUCUCCCACCCUUGUGUAUCAUUAUAGAAUGUUGCUUUGGCGGGGCUGCGUGCCUAGCAUGCCUCGAUUCGCGUCGCAGGCCGGCCCGCCCAGGCAGGAGACCCCCUAAACUCUGAAUGUUAGUGUCGUCUGAGUACUAUUAAAUAGUUAAAA
rnacentral:misc_RNA from 1 species